GGUGAGCCUGUAAAGUUUUAGGAUCAAGGUUAAAGGCCCUUUUUUGCUCUCUUCUCUCUUGGACCUUCAGGCGACGGCUUGGGUAUCUUCCAAGCGAAUUUUCCUUUCUUUCCUGUUCUUUUUUUUUUUUGAGACGGAGUCUUGCUCUGUCGCCCAGGCUGGAGUGCAGUGGCGUGAUGUCGGCUCACUGCAAGCUCCGCCUCCCGGGUUCACGCCAUUCUCCUGCUUCAGCCUCCUGAGUAGCUGGGGCUACAGGCGCCCGCCACCACGCCCGGCUAAUUUUUUUGUAUUUUUUUUUUUAGUAGAGACGGGGUUCCACCGUGUUAGCCAGGAUGGUCUCGAUCUCCUGACCUCGUCAUCCUCCCGCCUUGGCCUCCCAAAGUGCUGGGAUUACAGGCUUGAGCCACCGCGCCCCGCUCUUUCGUGUUCCAAAGGCUUUUUAAAUAAACUUCCACUCCUGUCCUGGAUUCUGCUUUAUGGCCCUCAGUCGAAUUCUUUCUUCUGAGGAGGCAAGGACUGAAGUUGCUUCUGACCAGUACAGGUACGCCGCAGGAGAAAACGAAUACAGCAGGGAUGACUUCCACCAGCUCCACUUUGCAGCUCUGAGGUGUAUUAAAAAUGACCUGGAAGAAGUCAUGCCACGGGCCAGACCUUAACAUUCCUUUCGGCUUACCCCAGGAUUUCAGACGAAGCUUCACUUUCCUAACCAGUCACAAAUCAGAGAAUUUUUGAUUCCACCUAUGACCUGUGAGCUCCUGCUUCAAGAUAUUCCACCUUUUUUAGGCCAAACCAAUGUAUAACCUCCAAGUGUCGAUUUACACUUUCGACUGUAACUUCUGCUUUCCUGAGAUUUACCCCUGCCUUUAAAAACCCUUGCUUGUAAUCCCUCAGGGAGGCCGUGUAUUUAUUAAUCAUGAGCUGCCCAAUUCUCCUUGCUUGGUGCCCUGCAAAUAAACACCCUCUUUUCUCCCACUGCAAAA
rnacentral:sRNA from 1 species